ACAGAUGAGGGUGACUACGGUAUCAAGCUACGAAAUCUGAUUCAUUUCUUAAAUGAUGGCGACAAAGUAAAGAUUACACUCCGUUUUCGGGGCAGGGAGAUGGCACAUCAGGAAUUUGGUGUCAGAUUGCUGGAAAGAGUGCGGGGGGACCUUGCUGACCAUGCUGUGGUGGAACAAUUCCCAAAAUUAGAGGGGAGGCAAAUGGUAAUGGUUUUAUCUCCCAAAAAGAAAGAAGUUAAGGUAGGUAAAUCUGCUAAACAGUCUGAAACUGAUGCAAAAAGUGAGGCUAUAACUCAGUAGCAGUGUUUUUAUUGUUUUGGUACAAGAUUGUUUGCAAUGUUGU
rnacentral:misc_RNA from 1 species